rnacentral:rRNA from 1 species
CACGUAGUUAGCCGGAGCUUAUUCUAUAGGUACAGUCUUUUAUCUUCCCUAUCUAAAGCAGUUUACAAUCCGAAAACCUUCUUCCUGCACGCGGCGUCACUGCAUCAGAGUUUCCUCCAUUGUGCAAUAUUCCCGACUGCUGCCUCCCGUAGGAGUCUGGGCCGUAUCUCAGUCCCAAUGUGGCCGUUCAACCUCUCAGUCCGGCUACUGAUCGUCGACUUGGUAGGCCGUUACCCCACCAACUAUCUAAUCAGACGCAAGCCCAUCUAUUAGCGGAUUGCUCCUUUCCCACUAUCACCAUGUGGUGAUUAUGGCAUAUGCGGUAUUAGCAAUGAUUUCUCACUGUUAUUCCCCUCUAAUAGGCAGGUUGCUUACGUGUUACUCACCAGUCCGCCACUAACCGCUCCAAAAUGUAAACAUUUCGGUUAAGUCCGUUCGACUUGCAUGUCUUAUGUGCGCCGCCAGCGUUUAUCCUGAGCCAGGAUCAAACUC